AGACAGAGAGUAGAGACAGCUGACAGAGGAGACUGUAGAAAUACUAAACAGAGACAUUAAAAACAGCAGACAGAGAGUAGAGACAGCUGACAGAGGAGACUGUAGAAAUACUAAACAGAGACAUUAAAAACAGCAGACAGAGAACAGAGAGUAGAGACAGCUGACAGAGGAGACUGUAGAAAUACUAAACAGAGACAUUAAAAACAGCAGACAGAGAGUAGAGAGUAGAGACAGCUGACAGAGGAGACUGGAGAAAUACUAAACAGAGACAUUAAAAACAGCAGACAGAGAGUAGAGACAGCUGACAGAGGAGACUGUAGAAAUACUAAACAGAGACAUUAAAAACGGCAGACAGAGAACAGAGAGUAGAGACAGCUGACAGAGGAGACUGUAGAAAUACUAAACAGAGACAUUAAAAACAGCAGACAGAGAGUAGAGAGUAGAGACAGCUGACAGAGGAGACUGGAGAAAUACUAAACAGAGACAUUAAAAACGGCAGACAGAGAACAGAGAGUAGAGACAGCUGACAGAGGAGACUGGAGAAAUACUAAACAGAGACAUUAAAAACAGCAGACAGAGAGUAGAGACAGCUGACAGAGGAGACUGUAGAAAUACUAAACAGAGACAUUAAAACGGCAGACAGAGAGUAGAGAGUAGAGACAGCUGAGAGAGGAGACUGUAGAAAUACUAAACAGAGACAUUAAAAACAGCAGACAGAGAGUAGAGACAGCUGACAGAGGAGACUGUAGAAAUACUAAACAGAGACAUUAAAAACAGCAGACAGAGAACAGAGAGUAGAGACAGCUGACAGAGGAGACUGUAGAAAUACUAAACAGAGACAUUAAAAACAGCAGACAGAGAGUAGAGAGUAGAGACAGCUGACAGAGGAGACUGGAGAAAUACUAAACAGAGACAUUAAAAACAGCAGACAGAGUAGAGAGUAGAGACAGCUGACAGAGGAGACUGUAGAAAUACUAAACAGAGACAUUAAAAACAGCAGACAGAGAACAGAGAGUAGAGACAGCUGACAGAGGAGACUGGAGAAAUACUAAACAGAGACAUUAAAAACAGCAGACAGAGAGUAGAGAGUAGAGACAGCUGACAGAGGAGACUGGAGAAAUACUAAACAGAGACAUUAAAAACGGCAGACAGAGAGUAGAGAGUAGAGACAGCUGACAGAGGAGACUGGAGAAAUACUAAACAGAGACAGCUGACAGAGGAGACUGGAGAAAUACUAAACAGAGACAUU